rnacentral:rRNA from 1 species
GGGCUUAGUGAUCCGACGGUUGCGUGUGGAAGCGCCGAAGCUCAACGGAUAAAAGGUACUCCGGGGAUAACAGGCUUAUAGUGCCCAAGCGCCCAUAGCGACGGCACUGUUUGGCACCUCGAUGUCGGCUCAGCGCAUCCUGGGGCUGGAAAAGGUCCCAAGGGUUUGGCUGUUCGUCAAUUAAAGCGCUACGCGAGCUGGGUUCAGAACGUCGUGAGACAGUUCGGUCCCUAUCCGCCGUGGGCGUAGGAUAUUUGAGGAGAUCUGUCCCUAGUACGAGAGGACCGGGAUGGACGAACCUCUGGUUUACCAGUUGUUUCGCCAGGAGCAUCGCUGGGUAGCUACGUUCGGAAGGGAUAAACGCUGAAGGCAUCUAAGCGUCAAGCCCACUUCAAGACUAAAUAUCCCGUGGGGUAAACCCACCUGAAGGCCCCUCGCAGACUACGAGGUUGAUAGGUUGCAGGUGAAAGCGCAGUGAUGCGUUUAGCCGAGCAAUACUAAUUGGCCGUGAGGCUUGGCCUC